GACGGAAGGUGCAAGCGUUGCUCGGAAUCACUGGGCGUAAAGGGUGCGUAGGCGGCCGUGCAAGUCUGGCGUGAAAGCCCCGGGCUCAGCCCGGGAAGUGCGCUCGAAACUGCGCGGCUCGAGUGCCGGAGGGGAGAGUGGAAUUCCUGGUGUAGCGGUGAAAUGCGUAGAUAUCAGGAGGAAUACCGGUGGCGAAAGCGACUCUCUGGACCGGUACUGACGCUGAUGCGCGAAAGCGUGGGGAGCAAACAGG
rnacentral:rRNA from 1 species